GAAACUCGCCUACAUGAAGCUGGAGUUACUAGUAAUCGCAGAUCAGCAUACUGCCGUGAAUACGUUCCCGGGCCUUGUACACACCGCCCGUCAAACCAUGAGAGUCGCCAACACCCGAAGUCCGCUUUGCGGCCUAAGGUGGGGAGAUGAUUGGGGUUAAGUCGUAACAAGGUAUC
rnacentral:rRNA from 1 species